rnacentral:rRNA from 1 species
UGUUGGGUUAAGUCCCGCAACGAGCGCAACACCUGCAUUUAGUUGCCAGCACGUUAAGGUGGGAACUCUAAAUGGACUGCCUACGCAAGUAGAGAGGAAGGAGGGGACGACGUCAAGUCAUCAUGGCCCUUACGCCUAGGGCUACACACGUGCUACAAUGGGCGGUACAGAGGGUAGCUACCUGGUAACAGGAUGCCAAUCUCGAAAACCGUUCACAGUUCGGAUUGGGGUCUGCAACUCGACCAUAGAAGCUGGAAUCGCUAGUAAUCGCGUAUCAGCAAUGACGCGGUGAAUACGUUCCCGGA